rnacentral:lncRNA from 1 species
AUGAGGGGCACCCUCCUAAUUCUGAAGAAAGACCAAGAAGAAAUUUGUAUGAAGAGAGUCUUACAGAUCGUUUUCUUUUCAGAGUCUGUAAUCAUGGAGAAUACACCAAGGAAUGUAACUGGCUCUGAGUCCUCAGAGACAGUGAAUCCUCAAGCACCAGCUGGUAACAUGGCAUCACCAAGACGUAGUGCUGAGGAACCUGUGGGAAUUGCCAACAGAGCCGCUCCAACAACAUCACCAACCAGAAGGAUUGCCAUGAAAAGUCAAGAAUUACUUGAGGAAACUGAUACGGAAGAACCAUUAUUUGAACAUACGGAGUCACAGAUCUCCAAAGAAUCUCCUCAGACAAAGAGAUGCUCCAGGCAGGAACCCCAGGUAAUUACCCCUGUGAGAUGAGUGUUUGUGCAGCAGCAGGGGAUGCAGGACCAGGCAGGGCUGGGCAGGGCAGAGGGCGUGGGU